rnacentral:misc_RNA from 1 species
UGUGGGGUCGGAGACUGAGGG